ensembl:lncRNA
CUUGAGCAACACCUGCUGGCAGCUCCCGGGGAUCACGCCGGAUCGCGGCCGCUGCUCGAGCUCGGCUCGCGGGGCUGGAGUCUGGGCCAAGCCUUGCGCAGCGGCCGCCUCUAUUUUUACCCGGAGCACCAGCAAGGGCAACUUCUUUUAAGAGCAGCUCUUGAUUUUUCCCCCCUUUUGGCAGCUAGAGAAUUCAGAGAGGGAGGGGGGAGGGAAAUCACUGAUCAGUAAGUGCAGCUGGGAAUCUCUGAACCCAGUUAUCAGUGCCAAGACUGAAAGCCACGGCCAAUGUCAGGGACCAGGAAGGGGACUUGCGGGCUGGCUCCCAGGCGGACAGAGACGCGCGGGGAGCGCUCCCGCCCCGCCAGCUCUGUCCCCUUUCGGAUCGCAGAGCCCGGUCCUCCCCGCCACUGCGCUAGCACGGUGGCCGGCUGCCACCGCGCUUUUCACCUAGUGCAGGAGGCCUGAUUUACUGACUCCUUCACAAAGCUCCUCGUCUCUUCGCUGGAGCCUUUUGCAGGGCUCUGUUCUCGCCUGGAGGAGCGGCCCCUGGAGAACCCGGUGGAGCAGCUUGCUUCGAGGAGCCGGGAGGGAAACUGUGUCUGGAAGUAUAAGUGGGAGCCCCUGAAACUACAAUUUGAAGUCUCACCCAAGGAGUGGAUACACUGCCCUGAACUCUCCCAAGUGGGACUCCAGAUUGCUGUUACUCAGGACUUCACAGUGCUAUUUUGAAGUCUGGAGAUCCGUCAGCCUGAUUUGAAAAUCCAGCCUGAGACAUGGUUUUCUGAGCAGGAGGCAUCUCAGAGUUUGUCAGCUUGCCAUGGAGCCUCAGAUUCAGCCAGCAGGGUCUUCAUGAGUCAUGAGUUCCACUGCAGCCAAGGCUGCCCAAAAUGCAACUCUUCUCCAGACAUUUUCACAGGAACUGGGGGUGCCUCAGCAUUUGGAAAGCUACCGCGUACCCUGUCCACACUCAAUAAAUGCUGCUUAAU